GUUCGAUCCCUGGUACAGAAAGAAAGAAAAGAAAGAAAAAAAAAAUGAUUCCAUGCUACUACUUAAAACAUCCAGACUGGUUCUCUGUGGUCUAAAACUAAAUUCCAGGUCUCCUGGUGUGCUCUCCACCCUGCCUCCUCCAGUGAAGAGAAUGUUUGCUAACUGUAAGCCUCUGCGUGUGAGUCCUUCCACCUAGAAUAUCAGUCCAUCGCUUGUUCUUGCAGUGACCUCUUGAUCAUCCUUCAAACCCCCAACUCGGUUGUUAACCACCUUUGUGAAUUCUUUCCUGAGCCCUUGUGUGUUGGAAUCAUCUGCUUGCAUGCCUCGCUCCAAGCAGUUCACUUCUCUGAGAACAAUUUGUCCUAUUUUUGUGUCAACUGAUCUCCCACCGAUAGAAAUGAAGCCACAGUCCCACCUGUGAAGAGGACUUACAGCCCCUCAACUCCCUCCCUCCCUGCUGGGAGUCUUGGGGUUCCCAGCAUGUCCUUCUCAUGUGUCCUACCCUGUACUCUGCUGCCCUGAGGCUGCCCUUUGGACACCCAAGGCUGUUCAGUUAAUCACCUCAGUGAUUUCCUGACCAUGUUCUUUUCCUUGAAUCCUCCAGGGCAAGUCUGUGAGGUGGGAAAAUGACAUUCUCUCCUUCAUUCUUACACUGGCUCUGGAUGGCAGUUGGUCCCCUGGGCACUGAACCCACUGGGCCGUUUCUCCCUGUGUUACAAUCUCAUAAAAACCCUCCUUAACUGCUUUGGCUUCUGUGUGAAUUCCCCUUCCUCUUUAGGCCCUAGUCCUGGCCCAGGACAGAGAGAGAAUGAGGUCCUGUGAGGUCCACACUGGUCCUGACGCUUGGAGACCACUUCGGAUACAGACGUGCUCAGGGUUGUUGAAGGAUGAGUGCAUGAAUGAAUCUCAGGCAAGGGCCAGCUUCUCUGGGUGCAGCCUCCCUCACUGCUAAGGUAGAAUAACAGCCCAAUACACAGGGUGACUGUGAGCAUCAGCCUGGCACACUGGACAGGAUCUAGGACAUUAAUAAGUGCCUGGCAAAUUCCAGUUUGAAUGGCAAUCAAAGAAAUACAUACUUGAAUUAAAACAAAAAAAGAAGCCAGAGAGGAAAAUUCUUCAGAGGGAAUGGAAACCACAUUAACAGCAUGGAAUUAAAAUUAAAGAUGUGUGAUGCUCUAUGAUGUUUGUAAGAACACAAAAUUAUUUUAAAUUUCCAGCUUUAAUUUCCAGUGUAUGGUUUCAACUGCAUUGCAGCCCUUACAUUGCUGGGGAUUAGUCUCCCCAGAGGAUGAGCUAGUGGCAGGGAGAAUCAAACAGCUGCUGCAGGAGAAGCGAAAUGAAGGGAGCAUGGAGGAGGGGCUGGAAGAAUGAUCUGAAAAAGGAUUAGAAGGAUGCCUGAGUGGGCAAAGGACUUUCUAAUGCGUUCUAUUUGAUUUGCUUGGUGAUGCACACGGCAUUUCCAAUUGGCUGCAUCGCCAGUGAGAUGCCCAACUCACCUCCCCACCUUACGCCCCCACCUCCUAUUCUGAGCUUCAGUCCGUCCUAACCCACAUGAGGGCUGGGAAUGAGGUAAGUCUGUUGUCCUCAUCACUUGAUAACAAGGAAUUUUCCCUAAGCCUGGGGCUGUUGUGAGCACUUCACGUUUGCCAUUCCAUGCAGUAUGUACUGUUGUCCUCCCCUUUCAGGGAACGAGGCAAGAGAGGUAAAAAAGUAACUGGCAGAGAUCACACAGCCAGCCGCAGAGACGGGACCCAAUCCUGGGUACUAGGAGUCUACAGGCCCACCGUCUUAACCACACUGCUACACCACCUGCCAAUCACGGCGCACUAAAGUUCUCUUGUGUUGAUGGAUGCAUCAGAAUGACACUGCAUGAAAACUGCGAAUCAGAAGGCCAUGGAGCCCCCCAGUGUUUCCGUCUACAGGAAUGUACAAAGGUUCUGCAAAACAGAUUUAAGACUAGCCAAGGUCCAUGUCCAAUCAGCCGUUGCAGAUGGGGUCAUCAAGGACAGGAAACUGCUGCUCGGGAAGAGAUGCUGAGAAACUUCUGAUCUUUGCCCUUCAUUUCUGGCUUCAGGGGGAAAGCUGACAGGUACAAUGAAGAUAAAUUCACUGCGGAGGAAAGGAAAAAAGUACUUCAGAUGCAGGACUCUGCUGUUCUAAGUAAACAGUGAUUCAGUGGCUUUCUUAUGAGGGGUGAUCGAUAAAUAGGGUGAAUGUUUAAAUUUUUUUUUUUUUUUAAACUCAUUACAGUAAAAGACACAUUGCCAAGAAUCAUGGGAUAAGUGAGUUUGAAGUGAGA
ensembl:lncRNA